AUAGUUAAACGGCCGCGGUACCCUAACCGUGCAAAGGUAGCACAAUCACUUGUUCUUUAAAUCAGGACUAGUAUGAACGGCCUCACGAGGGCUACACUGUCUCCCCCCCCCAAUCAGUGAACCUGAUCUCCCCGUGAAGAAGCAGGGAUGACCAAAUAAGACGAGAAGACCCCAUGGAACUUCAAACUUGCACCACUCCUUCCUUUACACCACAUUAACCGAAGUAAUUUGACUGCUAGUCUUUCGGCUGGGGCGACCACGGAGAAUAAUAAAACCUCCACGAUGAAAGGGGGCCACCCUAAUUUCAGAGCCACUGCUCCAAAAAUCAACAAAUUGACAUAAAUUGACCCAGUAUAUCUGAUCAACGAACCAAGCUACCCUGGGGAUAACAGCGCAAUCCAUUUCAAGAGACCUCAUCGACAAAUGGGCUUACGACCUCGAUGUUGGAUCAGGGCAUCCUGAUGGUGCAGCCGCUAUCAAAGGUUCGUUUGUUCAACGAUUAAAGCCCU
rnacentral:rRNA from 1 species